CUGGCGGGGCGAGCUCUGUGGGGGCGGGGCUAAGGCGGCGCGGCGCGGCGGCCAUUUCGGGCGCGGCGAUGUCGGGCGCGGCACUGGACGGGGCGCUGGGGAAGGCGGCGGCGGCGGCGACGACGACGACAGCGCGGCCGCGGCGGAAGCUCCUAAGCGCGGAGGAGGCGGAGCUGUUCGAGCUGGCGCAGGCGGCGGGGAGCGGGCUGGACCCGGAGGUGUUCAAGGUGCUGCUGGACCUGCUGCGCAUGAACGUGGCGCCGCUCGCCGUCUUCCAGAUGCUCAAGUCCAUGUGUGCCGGGCAGCGGCUGCCGGCGGGCGCGGAGGGCGGCCCCGCUGCGGCGCCGGCGCCGCUCCCCGCCGACACCCGAGAGGCCCCCACGGACAGUAAAAUCCCCGCGCCGCUCGCCUUCGCCUCCGCCCUGCGGCCUCCGCGGCUCGGCGGCGCGAAGCUGGUGGUCUGCAGCCCCGCCGACGGCCGCCCGCCUCUCUCGCAAGUGACUUUUGGCUGGUAGCCUGCAACUUCUGGAUAUCUAUGGAUUACGUCUAAAAGGUUUAAAAGAGUUUCCUCUUUCUUGCUGAGUGAAAGAGGUGCUCUUGGUUAAGAAUUCCCUGAUGAGAGGUCAUUUGUAGUAAGGAGAACAGCAAGAUGUGUGAUUAAGAAGUGACUCUAAAGACGUACAGGGGAAAAAGAAGACACCUGGCUGACUGUUUUCCUGAGCUGAGAAAGAGGUACAGCACUUGCACAUUUUAAGUAACAAACAACAUGCUAUUCCUGUACUAUGUUGAGAGGAAAUGUCCUCAAAAGAAAACAGCAGUUUUGAACAGAAGAUGCUGUUAAAUUUUGCUUUUUCUUCUUCUCUCUUGAUGCUUCAGGUGUGGUGGGACACUCAAAAACUAUGAACGAACUUUGGGAGAAAUAAAACCAGUUCUGCCGCCAGCGGGACCCAGGUUCUAGCAGAAAGGAGCAGCCGGGAAGGAUCUGCCCAGAGGAUGCCUCGACAACCAAGUGCUAGCCGGCUGCAGAAAGUAGGAGCUUCUGGAAAGAACAGUGGAGGCAACAGUACCUGAAUAAGACACUGGCUCUGAUGUAUUUUGAUGCUUUAAAAUGUAUAUAAUCUGUCCUGUGAAACUGCAUGUUU